UGCAAGUCGAACGAACUCCUGGUAUUGAUUGGUGCUUGCAUCAUGAUUUACAUUUGAGUGAGUGGCGAACUGGUGAGUAACACGUGGGAAACCUGCCCAGAAGCGGGGGAUAACACCUGGAAACAGAUGCUAAUACCGCAUAACAACUUGGACCGCAUGGUCCGAGUUUGAAAGAUGGCUUCGGCUAUCACUUUUGGAUGGUCCCGCGGCGUAUUAGCUAGAUGGUGAGGUAACGGCUCACCAUGGCAAUGAUACGUAGCCGACCUGAGAGGGUAAUCGGCCACAUUGGGACUGAGACACGGCCCAAACUCCUACGGGAGGCAGCAGUAGGGAAUCUUCCACAAUGGACGAAAGUCUGAUGGAGCAACGCCGCGUGAGUGAAGAAGGGUUUCGGCUCGUAAAACUCUGUUGUUAAAGAAGAACAUAUCUGAGAGUAACUGUUCAGGUAUUGACGGUAUUUAACCAGAAAGCCACGGCUAACUACGUGCCAGCAGCCGCGGUAAUACGUAGGUGGCAAGCGUUGUCCGGAUUUAUUGGGCGUAAAGCGAGCGCAGGCGGUUUUUUAAGUCUGAUGUGAAAGCCUUCGGCUCAACCGAAGAAGUGCAUCGGAAACUGGGAAACUUGAGUGCAGAAGAGGACAGUGGAACUCCAUGUGUAGCGGUGAAAUGCGUAGAUAUAUGGAAGAACACCAGUGGCGAAGGCGGCUGUCUGGUCUGUAACUGACGCUGAGGCUCGAAAGUAUGGGUAGCAAACAGGAUUAGAUACCCUGGUAGUCCAUACCGUAAACGAUGAAUGCUAAGUGUUGGAGGGUUUCCGCCCUUCAGUGCUGCAGCUAACGCAUUAAGCAUUCCGCCUGGGGAGUACGGCCGCAAGGCUGAAACUCAAAGGAAUUGACGGGGGCCCGCACAAGCGGUGGAGCAUGUGGUUUAAUUCGAAGCUACGCGAAGAACCUUACCAGGUCUUGACAUACUAUGCAAAUCUAAGAGAUUAGACGUUCCCUUCGGGGACAUGGAUACAGGUGGUGCAUGGUUGUCGUCAGCUCGUGUCGUGAGAUGUUGGGUUAAGUCCCGCAACGAGCGCAACCCUUAUUAUCAGUUGCCAGCAUUAAGUUGGGCACUCUGGUGAGACUGCCGGUGACAAACCGGAGGAAGGUGGGGAUGACGUCAAAUCAUCAUGCCCCUUAUGACCUGGGCUACACACGUGCUACAAUGGAUGGUACAACGAGUUGCGAACUCGCGAGAGUAAGCUAAUCUCUUAAAGCCAUUCUCAGUUCGGAUUGUAGGCUGCAACUCGCCUACAUGAAGUCGGAAUCGCUAGUAAUCGCGGAUCAGCAUGCCGCGGUGAAUACGUUCCCGGGCCUUGUACACACCGCCCGUCACACCAUGAGAGUUUGUAACACCCAAAGUCGGUGGGGUAACCUUUUAGGAACCAGCCGCCU
rnacentral:rRNA from 1 species